rnacentral:tRNA from 1 species
GAGGGUAUAUCUCAGUGGUAGAGCAUGUGCUUAGCAUGCAUGAACUCCUGGGUUCACUUCCCAGUACUUCUG